ACAAGCGGAGGAGCAUGUGGUUUAAUUCGAUGAUACGCGAGGAACCUUACCUGGGCUCGAACGUAAGAUGACUGUAGGUGAAAGCUUACAUCUCUUCGGAGCAUUUUACGAGGUGCUGCAUGGUCGUCGUCAGCUCGUGCCGUGAGGUGUCGGGUUAAGUCCCAUAACGAGCGCAACCCUACCUUUAGUUGCCAUCAGGUAAUGCUGGGGACUCUAAAGGAACUGCCUACGCAAGUAGUGAGGAAGCGGGGAUGACGUCAAAUCAGCACGGCCCUUACGUCCAGGGCUACACACGUGCUACAAUGGCCGAUACAGAGGGCAGCUACCUGGUGACAGGAUGCAAAUCUCCAAAGUCGGUCUCAGUUCGGAUCGGAGUCUGCAACCCGACUCCGUGAAGUUGGAUUCGCUAGUAAUCGCGCAUCAGCCAUGGCGCGGUGAAUACGUUCCCGGGCCUU
rnacentral:rRNA from 1 species